GCUCCCCGAAGCCCCCAGGAACCCCCGCAGCCUGGCUCUCGGCCGACCCUCUUCGGGACACCGUGUCAUGUUGCGUUCACUGAUCCGUAUGAUGGCAUGUCCGGCACCACCAGUGACGGCAGGUUCGCUGCUCCGUGUGAUGACGCCUUCCCCGCUCCACGGAGUGCUAGCCUGCGUGUUCGUCGUGCUGAGAGGUCACAGAGGGAAAGGGAGCCUUGGAGCAAUGCCCCGGGGGAUAGAGGCCAGAAUGUUCCAGGUGGAAAAAAUCUGUGCUCCAGGUGGUGACAGCAGUGAAAUCUGGCCACACCAGGGAGUGUCUGCUGCGGGGAGCCUCGGCCAGGCCACCGUCGGGCCUCCCUCCAGCCUGCUGGGCAGUAGCCCCCCUUCCCACGUCCACGCUCCGUGGGCCGCGGUUUCCUGUAGAGAAGCAGAGAAGCUCUGCCAGCCAGAAUAGUACACUCCCCACCCCCCAAUGCCUACACCCAAAUCUCUGGGGCUGUGCCUAUGAAAUCGUUACUUUACCUGACAGAGGGGCCUUUGCAGAUGGCAUUAAGGUGACUAAGCAGUGGGCCCAUGCGGAGAUUAUUCUGGAUGAUGCAGACAACUUUCUUUGAUUGGGAUCAGAGAGAUCGGCUCCCCCCUUCCCCCAAGAGGAAUCAGCCUCCAGUGUGAGAAGGGUUUAGUGUGCUGCUGGUUCCCACAUGUAGGGACCCAGGCAUGAGGACCGGAGGCAGAAAGGUGGCCCCUGCUGACUGCCAGCAAGGAAAAGGACCCUCAAUCCUCAACCACAGGAGACCAAAUUCAUCCGAGGGCGUGGAUGAGUGAACUUGGAAGAUGGCCCUCCCCACAGCCUCCCAGUUAAGAGCCAACACCUUGAAUCCAGCCCACAGAAGCUGGGAUGGAGGCCCCGGCUGUGGCACGUCUGACCUGGAGACUGAGACAGUGCAUGUGUGCUAUUUGGAGCCACCGUGUUGGGGCAUCUGGGUGGCUCAGUGGCUGAGCGUCUGCCCUCCGCUCAGGGCGUGAUCCCGGGGUCCUGGGAUCGAGCCCCACAUCGGGUUCCCCACGGGAAGGCUGCUUCUCCCUCUGCCUAUGUCUCUGCCUCUCUCUGUGUGUCUCUCAUGAAUAAAUAAAUAAAAUCUUAAAAAAAGAAAUGAAGCCACCGUGUCUGUAGUGAUUUGUUUGUACAGUUGUAGAAAGCUCAUGCAGACACAGUGCUUGGGGAGCACAGGUUCCAGACC
rnacentral:lncRNA from 1 species